rnacentral:lncRNA from 1 species
CUCAUUUUCUCUUGCCUCUGCUAUGUAAGAAAACCUUUCACCUCCCACCAUGAUUUUGAGACCUCCCCAGCCAAGUGGAACUGAAGGGUCCUGUCCUGUACCCGGGAGGAAGAAAUGCUACACAGAGAAGCCAAGAUGAAUCUGAACAGACAGCCUUUGUCAGUUCCACAGAUUCCAUAAAAGUUAACUCCAGAGCAGAGAAUGAUGCCACAGUCGGGAUAACAUCCAAUAUUUGCAAUCAGAAGAAAUAUGAGAGUCUUGCUCCAUCACCCAGGCUGCAGUGCAGUGGCACGAUCUUGGCUCACUGCAAGCUCCACCUCCCGGGUUCACGCCAUUCUCCUGCCUCAGCCUCCCAAGUAGCUGGGACUACAGGCGCCCACCACCACGCCCAGCUAAAUUUUUUUGUAUUUUUAGUAGAGAUGGGGUUUCACUGUGUUAGCCAGGAUGGUCUCGAUUUCCUGACCUCGUGAUCUGCCUGCCUCGGCCUCCCAAAGUGCUGGGAUUACAGGCGUGAGCCACUGUGCCCGGCCGUAAUUAUUCUUUUCGUGUUAAGCAAUGGUAAAAGAACUGACUGAAAAUAAGAAUAUUAAAAAGUUUCUCUGCUAAAAACAGAAAAUUAUGUUUGUUACCAUUCCUACUAUAACCCCAGUGAUAUGGCUCCGAUGAGUGGAGGAACACCAGGGUUCUUGGUCUUCAUGCCAGUUUAGAUAAAACAACACAGACAUACGUGGAGUGGUUUUAAGGAGCAGACAGUUUAAUAGGCAAGAAGAAAAGAGAAGGCAGAAGGAAAAGGCUCCCCGAUACAAAGACAGAGGGAGGGGGCCUCCAAAGCCAAAAGAGGAAAUCCCAAGUGCAGUGGAUACCAGCCAGGUAUAUGUAGAGGCUGGAGGAGGUGGUGUCUGAUUUGCAUAGGGCUCAGGGGAUUGGUUUGACCAGGCCUGUAAUUCACGGGGCCUGAAAAAGCUGGCCCUCCCACCCUAGCAUUUAAUAUGCAAAUGCAGGGCGCCACGAUGUUCUACAAAUGGUGGGUAUAUGUGGGAGCGGCCAUGUUGCCAGGAACAUGUGGGGCAAGGGCAAGAAGGCCACGGGAAUCACCAUGUUUGGGUAGACGCAGUUUCUAAUGGCUUGCAUUUGCCUAUCAAAGGUUGCCAGCCGCUCUAAGAGCCAGGGCAUUCCAAUUCUGGAGCUGCUUUAAAAAUGAAAACUUCCCAAGGAUCCCUUUUCUUUUCUAUCUGCCUAAAAUAAUUUCUUAAUAACUCCUACAACACAAUGAUUUUCAGUGAAACAAAAGCUGCUGUUUUAUUUUUGUUAAAUUGUUUUUCUUAGCUAAAGAGAUAAAAGUGAGGAUGAGGGAUUCAAAAUGUGGUUUACUUUAUAGAGCUUGCAAAACUCACAGCAUUUAAAGCAGUUUUUAACAGGAGUAUGGGGAUAGGGCUUGAAUGAACUUGGAAAUGCCAUUCAAUUGCUAAAAUCAUAUGCAUCACAUUGUGUUCGUCUGCACAUACGUGCACUUUUCUGGUAAGAAGUUUCAAACUUACAACAAAUUUUCAAAAGAGGUCUAUACUUUUGAAAGUAUAAGAAAUCACUUAGUUUACUGACUUUCCUUAUUUCAGGCCACAUCCAAAAGUACAAAACAGCACAUUUACAUUUUGUAUUUCACAUUUUUUUCAAUACUUACCUUGGGAGCCAUAGGCCCUGCUAAAGUUUUGCUGAAAAAUCAUGGACAUGAUGCAGAUUAAUUAAGAGGAGAAAAGGCAUAUAGAUUUAUUUAACAUGUAUACACAGGAGCAUUCAAAAUGAAGACCCAGCUUCUCCAUGAGUUACAGAAACUUAUAUACCAUCUUGAGUUUGCAGAACGAAUGGGGGCUUGCAUCCUGGUAAGACAGGAUAUAGGAAGAAGGAGAAGAGAAAUUCUAUUGAGGGGCAAUAAAUGACUGUGAAGGAGAAUGAUUGGAUCAGGGAACAGAGAUUAACUUUGUAAAUAGUUUUCUUUGAAAUUUAAAUGAUCCUUGGAGACAAUCAUUGUUCUUAUUAAAAGGUCUGUUCAGGUAUUGGUCACAUCUUGGCCUUCUUUUCUGCAAUAGAUAAUGAGAUAACAGAGAUGGGAAGAAAACACAAUAGUUCUCAUUGGUAGGUCUGGAUCCUAAGCAGAUAAAGGAACUUCAGUUUAUUUGGGAGAGACAGUGGUGGUGAGAGGCCAAAGAGAUCUUCAGGCUUCUUCAGCUCAGCAUGUCAAAAUGCCAUAUUUUGGUAUAUGAAUUUCUGAGCCCCAACAUUCUCCCAUCUGAAACUUCCCUAGGAGUUUCACAAACUAAAAGCUGAGUUAGUGGCUGUGGAAGAGAAAAGUUAAGCUAAAAUAUGAAUGGCAAAUAAUUCUAUUUAACCAAUCUGUGAAUAGGUCAAUUAAACACCUCUUUCAUUUUAGGAGAUAGCAUUGCAGAUGGGCUUUCAAACAGAAGAAAAACAGGUUAAUUUUGGAAACAGUCUAUAAACCAGUUUCCUUACAGUCUGCAGGGCAGUCAGUUGAGGUGUCCAGAUGUUAGACUCAAAGCCCAGUUAAAGAGGAAGCCAGCAAUGGCAAUCUGACAAGAUUUUUUUUGCCUGUUUCAAAAAGUUUAAGCUUUAGCUUAUAGGGCCUCAGGAAAAAGGUAGUAGCAAUUCCAUUGAGUCCAAGUAAGAAAAAUCCUUUUGAAUUUUUUAUUACCAGAUUUUAGUGAGGAUAAACAGCUGAUAUUUCUGGCUUUUAAACAUUUUUUUUUUUAACCAAUGACAUCCUCCCAAGUACCAUAAUCGAGGUUAUAACUUAAGCAUAAGGUGUCUUCAAAGAGGUGGCAAACACUUUUUACAAGAUAUAAAAUUACCCCAAAGAUAGCUCAAAGAAAGGAAAAUUUUGGUAGCCAUAAAUGGAGUGUGACUCACAUUUCUGUUUGGCCAGUCUCUGGAGUCUCAGCUGCUCAGCUCAUUUUCUACAUACAGAAGCCAAAAUGCCUCAUAUGCCCCCACAGAUGAAAGACAGGAAAUCAAAAUCUGUCCAUGGAAGGGAAAAUAAUCAAUAAAUUUUGGGAAGGUAACACAAACGUCAAUCCAGAAAGCACUAAGUCCCUUGCCAGAAGUUUAAUCCAGGCUGCUGUGGUAAAAGGGCAGACCUUGGCUACUAGGUUACAACAUGAGGUGGUCUUUAUUGUUCUUCCCAGAAGAAAUCCAGAGCAGACAGUUUCAAUUUACAAAGGAAAAUGGCAACAACAACAACAACAACAAAUCACCUAUUUCUGAGAGGAAAGGGGGGGUCGAAGAAUGUGAAUAUUCAUACCUCACAGUACUGAAAGUACACUGGAGUCACUAUAACCCAAGACUCAUCACACAAAUCCUUUUUUCUCAUUAAUAAAAUCAUUGCAGAUGAGACAAACAAUGAUUUUUUCCCAUCCACUCAACUGGAAUGCAAAGAGAGAGAGAGGUCAGGAGACUGGCUGGUAAGAAAUUCUUAUCCCUUUGCUGGCAGGUCAGGUUCCUGGGUUCUCUUUACUGCAGCUUAUAGAAGAGAAGAGCAGCUUUGAUUACCCUGCUCACUGCACUAUACUGUGGUGGCCAUAGGCUCUUGGUCCCUUGAAGUUUCACUGAAAAAAAAAUCACUGACAUGAAGCAGAUAAAUUAAUAGGGGAAAAGGCAUGUAAAUCUAUUUAGCAUGUAUACACAGGAGCCUUCAGAAUGAAGACCCAACUUCUUCAUGAGUUACAGAAACUUGAGGUUACAAAAGAAUGGGGGCUCGCAUCCUGGUAAAACAGGUUAUGGGAACGGUGGAGGGGGAAGAGGAAUUUUACUGAUGGGCAAUAAAUGAUUGCAAGGGAGAAUGACUGGAUUGGGGAACAGAGAUUAACUGAUCUGUAGAGACAGUAAUUAUCCUCAUAAAAAGGUCUGUGCAGGUAUGGUCACAGCUUCUUUUCUGCAGUAGAUAAUGAGAUAAUGGGGAGGGAAAGAAAAAGACAAAUUAUUCUCCUUGGUGGGUCUGGAUUUUAGGCAGAUAAAGGAACUUCAGCUUCUUUGGGUGAGAUCAUGUGGAGAUUAGGUCAGAGAGACCUUGAAGCUUCUUCAGCUUAGCAUGUCAAAACAUCAUAUUUUGGGGUAACAAUUUCUGAGCCCAACAUUAUUAUGUCAACCCCUCCAGGAAACUGCAAUUGAGCAGAAUAGAUAGUAAUGAUACUAAGGUUAUAAGGGUGUUAAAAGAUAACAUUUUUUAAGGGUAAAAGCAUUCUUCUCAAAAAAUAUAAAACACAUGAAGAUUCUAUUAAAUUCAUUAAUUAAUAAUGGAAUCAAAUGUUAGAACCAGUUCAGAGUAGUUCUUUUUAAUGACACAAAUGUAGGGAAUAAGGAAUGCUAAAACAAAAUUUUAAAUAAAGACAGAAGUGAUCUAUCUACAGGACAAUAACCAACUGCAUUCCACAAGGACCCAAUUUGUUUGUAUUUCAACUGAAAAGAAUCAUUCACAUUAUUAUGAGUUUUAAAUCCUUCAAAAACAAUGACAAGCACAGAGAUUGCAGAUGGGUACACUAUAAAGGCUGCCAGCGAUCUCCCCCUCCCUCAUUUCGAAUCUGUCACAAUUUUUCUGACAUGCAUUUGCAGAGAAAUUGUGAUGAAGUUUUUUUCUGUCACACAAAAGGCAAGCAUCCAAUUUGACUGAGGGAGUCAAAGGUAGUCCCCACAGAAGUGGUAUUUAAAUGAAUGUUGAAUGAAUGUGCAUUAAGUAAAGAAUAUCUAUGGGGACUUAACAUUUGAAAGGUUCUGGGGCAUCUGAAAAAACAGAGCAAAGCUGUUGGAUGACAAUGGAAUGCUAAUUUAGAGUCGUGUUUGGAAGAACUGAGGUCCCAGUGGUGGAAUUUGAGUUUAUGAUUUCCCAAAGUACGCCUCCUAGAGGAGGAAGUAUACAUCAGUGCUUGAUGGCUUUGAGAGAGUCUUGAGAGUGUAGCCUGCAGCUUCUCAAUGAAAAAUGUCAAAUUUAUCUGCAAUCAUGUUUUAUCUUAAAAUUUCGCUUGGUUUUUAAUAUAACAAUCUAUGAGAUUACAACUUAUUGAGUAAAAUUUAUUGUGCUUAGUACAUGAGAGGAAAGAAGUAUAUAUUGGUUUUGAAUUUUGGCUGAACUGACAUUCCACAAAGUCAUCCCAGGCUCUUAGCCAGACUCUCUGGGUACACUCACUUUGUCUCCGGAGAUAUGCAAGCUCCUCAAAUUAAGGUGCAAAACAUGCAUUGACUACAGGUUACUAAAAGCUUUUAUUGGUCAGUGAAGUCACACGGUUAGUUUUAUUAUGUUUGGGGAAAAUUACUGCCAAUUCCAUGAAAGAAGAUUUGACCCAGCACCAGUGGGAAGCAGUGAUCAGAAAAUGGGCUGCCGAAACAGGCUUGGACUGAGGGUGUGAAUGGGAAGAAAAACGCUAUCUUACAGAGGUAAUUAAAAUGUUCUGACCAAUUAUCUACAGGCGAGAAAAGAGAAGGGUCAGGUAUAACAUUUCUGGUUGUAUUCCUGCAGACAGUUUGCUGGUAGAACUGGAGUUAGCAACUAUGCCACUGAUAGAAACAGGAGACAGCCAAGGGUCCCCGGAGAAACCCUGCCUUCAAGCCUAAAACGCCCUGCAGGCUGAAAAACCAGCUGCUGGUCCUGGAUGAAACCCACAACCCAGAGGGAGAACUGCCCCUGUUUGCCCGCCCUUUCCCAGCCGAUUCUUUCAGAAUAAGGCCCACAUGCGCACCGGGGAAACGGGGUCGAGCCACAGAAAGUUGCGCCUUGUUCAAUGGGGAGGAGUCUGGUCUCUUCAGUUUUCCUGUGCGUGGCCUGGAAUCAAUCUGUGAGGUGGGGGCCUAUUGGCAGGAUCCCCUCUCGCUUUCUUGAGAGUUUUUUUCUUUUUUUCCUUUUUGCCCAGUAAAUUCUGUUCCCCACACCCUUCAAUGUGUCCACGUGCCUAAAUUUUCCAGUUCUUGAUAUAAGAACCUGGAUUUAGCUGAACUAAGGAGCAAAAAUUCUCCUUAGAAUUUUUGGAAGGUUGGUGUAAAGUUAACAGUUGCAGCCACCUGACGGUUUCUAAAUCCCAGGUUUCUUGUAUUACCCAUUGCUCUUUUUCUCUAGCCUUUUAAAGCAGACCUGUAAGAGACCAGGCCAGCUUUAGCAUUUCUUUUGUCUUUUAAUCUGUAAGUUUUGUGCUUGAGCAGGAAGCAGACAGGUUACCUUUUUAAGACACUAAAGGAGAUGAGAUGAAAUUAUUUGUAUGAUCAAAAUGCAUAUUUAGAAUGUGCAUCUGUAAGUUUUCCAUGAUUAAGUUCUUGGGAAAAAAUUUUCAUUUUCCUACUUGGGAUUAAAGAAAAUUCAUCAUAAUAGCGUAGUUAGAAGAGUGAAUGUGAGGAUGCAAAGCCAAGCAAUAUUUAAAUUUACCAAUCUAAGAAGAAAUCUUUAAUCUGGCAUUAUGGCCAAUGAAUCUCAUGUAAAAUUUUCUUCCAGAUGCCCACACAGCUUAACUUUUAGAAACACAACACAGGAUAUUUCAGAGAUAAGCUGUGAUGAGUUCAGGACACGCUACCCCCAAAAUAUGACACAGUGGCAUAUGUAAUAUUUUAGGUGGAAGGAAUUUGAGAAAUAUCAUGAGUGGGAAGUGUCUUCUGACCUUCCCAUGAAGCAGAUCAUAACAACCUCAUGUGAAAGGUGCCCUCCCUAUACCCAGAUGAAAGGAGCAGCCUUCUCUCUGAAGACACAGGGACACAGACAAGAACUGAAUGAAGGGAUUUUGCUCAGUUUUCCCCAGUUUACUCAUACCCUUUAUGCUAUCACAUUUUCCCAUAACUUUCCACUUUUCAUUAAACCUAGAAUAAAAACUCUCAGGUUAAACUGUUUCUUUGCGUCUUCAUUUCCUUAUGAAAACUCCCAUGUCACAUAAAACUUAAAUAAAUGUGCAUGCUUUUCUCUUGUUAAUCUCUUUUGUUACAGGAGUACCAGCCAAUGCACGUUAAGAUGAGUAGAAGGAAAAGAUGUUUUUCCUCCUCUAUAGCUACAUAGUCACAAACAAGGCUGUACCUGUAUAAGGUUUCUUUGGAUAGCAGUGAGUAAAACCUACGCGGAGAGGUUCUAUGCCGAAGGAAUUUUGCUUACUGGAGGACCAGAAACACACGCGCGCGCGCGCGCACACACACACACACACACACACGGGCAGGGGACAAGGGCGUGGCAAAGGGCUCAGAGUGAUUAGGGAACAUGAGCCUUAUGGAAACCAAAGGAUCCUGGAAAGCAGUAAUAGUCAUUGCUGACAUUCAUUAAUAGCUUAUUAUGAGUGUGUGUGUGCAACACACACACACACACAGAGAAAGAGAGAGAGAUUGAUUCUGCUUUUUCUGGAACUAGAGCUAGAAAUGUGGUUUAGGAGGGUUAGGAUACAAAUCCUAUUCCUUUGGGAUUGCAUCCUUCAAAGGGUGUAUGAGGAGAAUUAUCAUUUCUUUAAUAGUGCUUGGCCCUAAACUUUCCCACAAGUCUGGUCAUGGAAAGCUUUCCCAAGGAGUUCUGCUUUGAGUAUUUAUAUCCGUCUGACUUCUAGGAAAAAGCCAAGAAAUAGACAGAGAGACAAAGAAUACCCUAAAGACACUUAGAGAUGUACCAGAUUGUAAUGUUGCAAAUUUCUUAGGACAAUAUCAUAUAUCAGAAGAGAGUGGGUUUACUUGGAUAGGAGUCAGAAAUUUGGGGAAAUAAUGGCUGUGUUAGCAAAUGCGCCUUCACCCUACCAAGAAGGCUUGUUUUUCUUAGCACACAGUGGAUUUAAAGUUACAGCCUGAGUGGAUAUUCCCAGCUCAGUUGAUUUCUCAUGAGCCACAUAUAUUCACAUGCCCCAGACAAGAUUAUUUCCAGUUUUCAGCACUCGUAGUUCUGGGAAGGGAGAGCUAAAUUAUGUGAGAGCACUCUCAGUGGGGGGACACAUAGAGAGAGUUGUUCUAGCAGCAAUAAAACUAGGGCAAUAAGGGGAAUUGAAGGUUAGGCAAGUCUGAGGCCUCAGACAUGGUGUUCAAUCAAUUAUAACAGAAGGACCUGCAUUGAUUCCAGCUGAAAUCUUAAGUAGGUAGCAGCUAGAUUAGCCUCAACAGAGAAAACAAUUAUUUUGGGGGCUACCUGUGGAGAUGAACUCCCUAAAAAGCUCUAAUUUUUAGAAAAUAUUUCUUAUCGUUUCAACAAACAUUAUGAAGUAUAUUCUGGACACUGGGAAUAGAAAAGUGAGUACGAAGACCCUUUCCUCAAAGGUUUUCUAGUCUUUUCACAAAUUUCUUAUGGGUUUGACAACAGAAAUGAUACUUGAGAAUAUUUAUACCUAUAAUUAAUAAAUUAAUUUUUGCCAUGAAGAAGGAAGACAAAAGAACAUCCAAAAAUUCAUAAAAUACUCUCAACAAAGUAAAAGUUUAUUCCACAUUGAAUCAAAGUAUUAAUUUCAUUUUCUGCAGAUUUUUCAAAUUGGCACUUGCCGUUAAUAAGAAACUUUUACUUUGUUUCCAUGAUUUAUAUAAGGUAAUUUAUAUCAUUCAACUUGCUGUAAAAGUUGAGACUGUUGGAAUUUCUUCAGUAGUUCCACUUCCAACCUUGUGCAGGAACUAUUUCUAACUUCCUAUUUUCAGUCUCCCCAUCUGCAAAAUGGAUUUAAUGACACAUUCACCCAAUAGAUUUUUAAAUAAGUAUUUAAAAAGCAAAUAUAGGGCUGGGUGCGGGGGCUCAUGCCUAUAAUCCCAGCACUUUGGGAGGCUCAGGCGGGCAGAUCAUUUGAAGCCAGGAGUUUGAGAACAGCCCAGGCAACGUGGCGAAACCUAUCUCUACUAAAAAUAUGAAAAUUAGCCUGGCGUGGUGACACAUGCCUGUAAUCCCAGCUACUCAGGAGCCUGAGGUGGGAGAAUCCCUUGAACCCGAGACGAGGAGGUUGCUGAGAUUGUGCCACUGUACUCCAGCCUGGAUGACAGAGUGAGACUGUAUCUAAAAAAAUUAGAAUUAAAAUUAAAAAGUAAAUAUAUAUAUAAAGCACAAAAAAGAGUAACUUACUCAUAGUAAGCUAUUAAUGAAUGUCAGCAACGACUAUUACUACUUUCCAGGGUCCUUUGGUUUCCAUAAGGCUCAUGUUCCCUAAUCACUCUGAGUCCUUUGCCACGCCCUUGUCCCCUGCCCGUAGUGUGAAGUGCUAUUCCCUAUUUAGAGAGCAAUAGCCACUGCUUUAUGUUCUUCACCUGGGAAGGGCUGAUCCAGCAACGAUCCCCAACAGAGGGAUUGGAUCUUUUUCUUCUUCUUUCUCACAAAGACCAAUGGGAGGCGGAGACCUAGAACCUGGGAGCAGGAAGCAGCCAAGGGAAGAGGUGAUUUUUAUUCAACCCUUCAAAAUGCCAAUGUUGUUAAUAAUAUUGUAGCACUACUAAUAAUGCAGACUGUGAUGGCCUCUAUGUCCAGAAGGUCAGAAGUUACCUCAGCCCGCUCCAGGGACACACGGAGGCCAUAGCAUAACGUGGGGCCCAAAGCCAUCUGUUCACAGCAGUGAUACUGACGUAUGGAAUCUGAGGAGCAUUUUGAGAAGCUCUUUUGGUGCAGGUUUUUCAAGCCUCAUCAUUGCAGUAACUCUGGAGCUAUGUUAAGAAACCCAAAAGAGGCAAAAAGAGUAAUGAGAGCCAAGAGGGGUGCCAAGAGAUUCAGGUUUCAUGUGUGACAUUUGAAACAAAAGAUUGGGAAGCGACCUGGAGAAAUUUCCUGAUUUGGUAUUUAGCUGUUCACUGGCCUUGACCUCUGGCCUUGGCCAUGAGGAAAUGGUUAAAGUCAUUGACAAAGAAAAGAGAGCAGAGAAUGGUGUGUGUGUGUGUGUGUGUGUGUGUGUGUGUGUGUGUGUGUGUCUGUGUCCUGCCUCAUAGCCGUUGAUGAAGAUUUUCUCCUUGACUAAACACCAGCCAAGCUCCUCUGAGUCCUCUUCUCAACUAACCCUCAACCUUGGCCUAAAACCACAAAAUGUCAGCAUAAACAAUUUCAUCCACCCCUGUCCCCCACUUUAAAAGACAUGAACAAAUACUAACAUAGUUUCUAACAGCUCAAGGGCAUAUCCUUAGGAUGAUGACUCCAGCGCCAUAAGUUCCUGACUGAGAAAGCUCAGGGUUGCAAAACAAUUUACUGUUUUGUACCAGCCAACACCUGAAUAGGGUCCCUGUCUCCCAGUCUUGGAGGGGGAGUAGGAAUCUAACUUUGAUAAAUGCCAGUUUGCAAACCAAGGUAGCUCCACAUGGACCAACCCCACUUUCUCACAUUUUGUAAAUGUCCACUUCCCUGAUUCUGCUCAAGCCCCUGCUGUUCCCUGUCCCUAGCUCCUCAUCCUUCCUCUAUAAGGCCUAGCCACCUCUGCACAAAUCGUAGUUCAGUUCAGUUCACACUGGACCUACUUCUCUAUUGCAAUUAUUUAUGACUAAUGAAAAUUUGUCUUUACCACUUCCCUCGGUGUCUGGUUUUCUUUAUCUUUGACAGCACCUUCAGCAAUACACAUUCUGAUAUCCUGGGGGAUCUGAUUUUUGAGGCUGAUGAGGCACUUAGUAGGGUAACUAUUUCCAGGAAAAGCUCAGUGAGCAAGAAGAGGAUGAAAACCAACCAGGCAAUGGUUGGAGGAAAGCGCGGCUCAGAUGAAAACAUUAGGAGUGACAUUUUUUAAAGAAAGAAUAUUUCUAAUAGAAAAAGCAUUUGGAUCCUCAGUUAAACAAUUUCGAAGAAAUAUUCCUCAUGGCAAGGAGUUUUAAAUAGAAGAACGUUCUGGUCCCCUAAACUUACUCUCUUGCCUUCUCUCCUUUCUGAUUAAAAAAUUUACUGUUUCUAAACCUUCCUUUUUUCUACCUAUAAAACAUACAAAUUUUAUUAAAAUGAGUCACAUGAGUUUCUAUACACAAGAAAAUGUUAAUGUAAGAAAAAUUAUUAUAUUAUUUGAUUUAGGGAAUUGACUUAAUUUAUACAAUCUGAAUUAUUUUUAUUCUUUAUCCAUGUUCUGGCCUUUAACAACAUUUGUUUCCUUGAUAUAGUUCCUUGUUAUAUAGUUUUGUAAUUUAACUUUAUGUCUUAAAGGUCCAGAAAGCAAACUUAGAUUAAGACAAAUAAAAUAAAACAGACAGUAGAGAUAUCAAUAGAUUUACUUAGAUCCAUUCACUUAACAUCAAUGCAUAACACAUUCCAAAAGCGAG